rnacentral:rRNA from 1 species
GGAGGAAUAUUGCGCAAUGGAGGAAACUCUGACGCAGCGACGCCGCGUGAAGGAUGAAGGCCCUCUGGGUUGUAAACUUCUGUAGAGAGGGAAGAAUUUUCGCCUUCGGCGAAUUGACGGUACCUCUAAAGUAAGGGUCGGCUAACUACGUGCCAGCAGCCGCGGUAAUACGUAGGACCCAAGCGUUGUCCGGAUUUACUGGGUGUAAAGGGAGCGCAGGCGGAUUAUUAAGUCGAUUGUGAAAUCUUGC